rnacentral:rRNA from 1 species
GACGUAGGGGGCGAGCGUUGUCCGGAAUUAUUGGGCGUAAAGAGCUCGUAGGCGGUCUGUUACGUCCGCUGUGAAAACCUAGGGCUUAACCCUGGGCUUGCAGUAGAUACGGGCAGACUAGAGGUAGGUAGGGGAGAAUGGAAUUCCCGGUGUAGCGAUGAAAUGCGCAGAUAUCGGGAGGAACACCGGUGGCGAAGGCGGUUCUCUGGGCCUUUCCUGACGCUGAGGAGCGAAAGCGUGGGGAGCAAACAGG